rnacentral:sRNA from 1 species
ACAUGAGAAGGGAGGUGAUCCGAGCAGUGAAGACUCUUCGGACCCAUGAGGUGGUCGCGCGCUAGGUCGCGCGUCUGAGCCAGCUUCGCGCCGUCAGGCGCGCGGACCGGUUGCGAUUCCCACGCGACCACCGGAGCCCGCGGGUGCCGUGCCCUCGUCCAGCACGGCAGCAGGAGUCACCCUGCAGCCCGCGGGCUCUUUCGU